UUAGAUACCUGGUAGUCCACGCCGUAAACGAUGUCGAUUUGGAGGUUGUGCCCUUGAGGCGUGGCUUCCGGAGCUAACGCGUUAAAUCGACCGCCUGGGGGAGUACGGCCGCAAGGUUAAAACUCAAAUGAAUUGACGGGGGCCCGCGACAAGCGGUGGAGCAUGUGGUUUAAUUCGAUGCAACGCGAAGAACCUUACCUGGUCUUGACAUCCACAGAACUUAGCAGAGAUGCUUUGGUGCCUUCGGGAACUGUGAGACAGGUGCUGCAUGGCUGUCGUCAGCUCGUGUUGUGAAAUGUUGGGUUAAGUCCCGCAACGAGCGCAACCCUUAUCCUUUGUUGCCAGCGGUUAGGCCGGGAACUCAAAGGAGACUGCCAGUGAUAAACUGGAGGAAGGUGGGGAUGACGUCAAGUCAUCAUGGCCCUUACGACCAGGGCUACACACGUGCUACAAUGGCAUAUACAAAGAGAAGCGACCUCGCGAGAGCAAGCGGACCUCAUAAAGUAUGUCGUAGUCCGGAU
rnacentral:rRNA from 1 species